rnacentral:rRNA from 1 species
GACGAACGCUGGCGGCGCGCCUAACACAUGCAAGUCGAACGGAGCUGAGAGAAGCUUGCUUUUCUUAGCUUAGUGGCGAACGGGUGAGUAACGCGUGAGUAACCUGCCCUGGAGUGGGGGACAACAGUUGGAAACGACUGCUAAUACCGCAUAAGCCCACGAUCCGGCAUCGGAUUGAGGGAAAAGGAUUUAUUCGCUUCAGGAUGGACUCGCGUCCAAUUAGCUAGUUGGUGAGGUAACGGCCCACCAAGGCGACGAUUGGUAGCCGGACUGAGAGGUUGAACGGCCACAUUGGGACUGAGACACGGCCCAGACUCCUACGGGAGGCAGCAGUUGGGGAUAUUGCACAAUGGGGGAAACCCUGAUGCAGCGACGCCGCGUGGAGGAAGAAGGUUUUCGGAUUGUAAACUCCUGUCGUUAGGGACGAUAAUGACGGUACCUAACAAGAAAGCACCGGCUAACUACGUG